GAUGAACGCUAGCUACAGGCUUAACACAUGCAAGUCGAGGGGAAACGGCAUCGAAAGCUUGCUUUUGAUGGGCGUCGACCGGCGCACGGGUGAGUAACGCGUAUCCAACCUGCCCAUCACUUGGGAAUAACCUUGCGAAAGUAAGACUAAUGCCCAAUGACAUCCCACGAAGGCAUCCGAAUGGGAUUAAAGAUUUAUCGGUGAUGGAUGGGGAUGCGUCUGAUUAGCUUGUUGGCGGGGUGACGGCCCACCAAGGCAACGAUCAGUAGGGGUUCUGAGAGGAAGGUCCCCCACAUUGGAACUGAGACACGGUCCAAACUCCUACGGGAGGCAGCAGUGAGGAAUAGUGGUCAAUGGGUGAGAGCCUGAACCAGCCAAGUAGCGUGCAGGAUGACGGCCCUAUGGGUUGUAAACUGCUUUUAUAAGGGAAUAAAGUGGGUCACGUGUGACUUUUUGCAUGUACCUUAUGAAUAAGGACCGGCUAAUUCCGUG
rnacentral:rRNA from 1 species